CGCCCGCUCAGAAACUUAAAUGAAUUGACGGGGGCCCGCGACAAGCGGUGGAGCAUGUGGUUUAAUUCGAUGAUACGCGAGGAACCUUACCUGGGCUCAAAUGUAUGUUGACGUAUUCUGAAAGGGAUACUUCUUCGGACAAUAUACAAGGUGCUGCAUGGUUGUCGUCAGCUCGUGCCGUGAGGUGUCGGGUUAAGUCCCAUAACGAGCGCAACCCCUAUCAUUAGUUGCCAUCAGGUCAAGCUGGGGACUCUAAUGAAACUGCCUACGCAAGUAGUGAGGAAGGCGGGGAUGACGUCAAAUCAGCACGGCCCUUACGUCCAGGGCUACACACGUGCUACAAUGGCCGAUACAGAGGGCAGCUACCUGGUGACAGGAUGCAAAUCUCCAAAGUCGGUCUCAGUUCGGAUCGGAGUCUGCAACCCGACUCCGUGAAGUUGGAUUCGCUAGUAAUCGCGCAUCAGCCAUGGCGCGGUGAAUACGUUCCCGGGCCUU
rnacentral:rRNA from 1 species